GACGAACCGUGCGAACGUUGUUCGGAAUCACUGGGCGUAAAGGGCGCGUAGGUGGUGGCUUAAGCGUGCGGUGAAAGCUCGGGGCUCAACUCCGAGUCGGCCGUGCGAACUGGGCUCACUGGAGCAUAGUAGAGGCAGGUGGAAUUCCGGGUGUAGCGGUGGAAUGCGUAGAGAUCCGGAAGAACACCGGUGGCGAAGGCGGCCUGCUGGGCU
rnacentral:rRNA from 1 species